GCGCCAGACUCCUACGGGAGGCAGCAGUGGGGAAUAUUGGACAAUGGGGGGAACCCUGAUCCAGCGACGCCGCGUGAGUGAAGAAGUAUUUCGGUAUGUAAAGCUCUAUCAGCAGGGAAGAAAGAAAUGACGGUACCUGACUAAGAAGCCCCGGCUAACUACGUGCCAGCAGCCGCGGUAAUACGUAGGGGGCAAGCGUUAUCCGGAUUUACUGGGUGUAAAGGGAGCGUAGACGGCAUGGCAAGUCAGAUGUGAAAGCCCGGGGCUCAACCCCGGGACUGCAUUUGAAACUGUCAGGCUGGAGUGCAGGAGAGGUAAGUGGAAUUCCUAGUGUAGCGGUGAAAUGCGUAGAUAUCAGGAGGAACACCGGUGGCGAAGGCGGCCUGCUGGACUGCAACUGACGUUGAGGCCCGAAAGCGUGGGGAGCGAACAGGAUUAGAUACCCGCGUAUUC
rnacentral:rRNA from 1 species